GACGAACGCUGGCGGCGUGCCUAAUACAUGCAAGUCGAACGCUUCUUUUUCCACCGGAGCUUGCUCCACCGGAAAAAAAAGAGUGGCGAACGGGUGAGUAACACGUGGGUAACCUGCCCAUCAGAAGGGGAUAACACUUGGAAACAGGUGCUAAUACCGUAUAACAAUCGAAACCGCAUGGUUUUGAUUUGAAAGGCGCUUUCGGGUGUCGCUGAUGGAUGGACCCGCGGUGCAUUAGCUAGUUGGUGGGGUAACGGCUCACCAAGGCCACGAUGAAUAUCCGACCUGGGAGGGUGAUCGGCCACAUUGGGACUGAGAUACGGCCCAAAGUCCUACGGGAGGCAGCAGUAGGGAAUCUUCGGCAAUGGACGAAAGUCUGACCGAGCAACGCCGCGUGAGUGAAGAAGGUUUUCGGAUCGUAAAACUCUGUUGUUAGAGAAGAACAAGGAUGAGAGUAACUGUUCAUCCCUUGACGGUAUCUAACCAGAAAGCCACGGCUAACUACGUGCCAGCCGCCGCCGUAA
rnacentral:rRNA from 1 species